AGUGAACGCUGGCGGUAGGCCUAACAUAUGCAAGUCGAACGGCAGCACAGUAAGAGCUUGCUCUUACGGGUGGCGAGUGGCGGACGGGUGAGGAAUACAUCGGAAUCUACUUUUUCGUGGGGGAUAACGUAGGGAAACUUACGCUAAUACCGCAUACGACCUACGGGUGAAAGCAGGGGAUCUUCGGACCUUGCGCGAUUGAAUGAGCCGAUGUCGGAUUAGCUAGUUGGCGGGGUAAAGGCCCACCAAGGCGACGAUCCGUAGCUGGUCUGAGAGGAUGAUCAGCCACACUGGAACUGAGACACGGUCCAGACUCCUACGGGAGGCAGCAGUGGGGAAUAUUGGACAAUGGGCGCAAGCCUGAUCCAGCCAUACCGCGUGGGUGAAGAAGGCCUUCGGGUUGUAAAGCCCUUUUGUUGGGAAAGAAAAGCAGCAGGUUAAUACCCCGCUGUUCUGACGGUACUCAAAGAAUAAGCACCGGCUAACUUCGUG
rnacentral:rRNA from 1 species